rnacentral:rRNA from 1 species
AUUGAACGCUGGCGGCAGGCUUAACACAUGCAAGUCGAGCGGGGGAGAUUACUUCGGUAAUUGACCUAGCGGCGGACGGGUGAGUAAUACUUAGGAAUCUGCCUAUUAAUGGGGGACAACAUCUCGAAAGGGAUGCUAAUACCGCAUACGCCCUACGGGGGAAAGCAGGGGAUCACUUGUGACCUUGCGUUAAUAGAUGAGCCUAAGUCGGAUUAGCUAGUUGGUGGGGUAAAGGCCUACCAAGGCGACGAUCUGUAGCGGGUCUGAGAGGAUGAUCCGCCACACUGGGACUGAGACACGGCCCAGACUCCUACGGGAGGCAGCAGUGGGGAAUAUUGGACAAUGGGGGGAACCCUGAUCCAGCCAUGCCGCGUGUGUGAAGAAGGCCUUAUGGUUGUAAAGCACUUUAAGCGAGGAGGAGGCUCUUCUAGUUAAUACCUAGGAUGAGUGGACGUUACUCGCAGAAUAAGCACCGGCUAACUCUGUGCCAGCAGCCGCUGUAACAC